rnacentral:rRNA from 1 species
CAAUAGCGUAUAUUUAAGUUGCUGCAGUUAAAAAGCUCGUAGUUGGAUUUCGGGUGGGAAUGGCCGGUCCGCCGUUUCGGUGUGCACUUGCUACGCCCACCUUGCUGCCGGGGACGUGCUCUUGAGUUCACGCUCGGGACACGGAGUCGGCGAGGUUACUUUGAGUAAAUUAGAGUGUUCAAAGCAGGCCUACGCUCUGAAUACAUUAGCAUGGAAUAACACGAUAGGACUCUGGCCGAUCUUGUUGGUCUGUAGGACCGGAGUAAUGAUUAAGAGGGACAGUCGGGGGCAUUCGUAUUUCAUUGUCAGAGGUGAAAUUCUUGGAUUUAUGAAAGACGAACUACUGCGAAAGCAUUUGCCAAGGAUGUUUUCAUUAA